rnacentral:tRNA from 1 species
GGGUGUCGUUGGGUUGUUGGUCAAACCCGUCAGACUGUAAAUCUGAUGCCAAAAGCUAUCUAGGUUCGAGUCCUAGGGCACCCA